GUUCAGGGUGGCCUAGUGAACAUGGCAUCUGUCCGGUAAUAGGAACACUGUGGGUUCGAUUCCCAUCCCUGGGCA
rnacentral:tRNA from 1 species